GGUCAAGCUAGAAAGGGCACACGGUGGAUGCCUAGGCGUCGAGAGGCGAAGAAGGACGUGGAUAGCUGCGAAAAGCUCCGGGUAGCUGCGAACAAGCGUUGAACCGGAGAUCUCCGAAUCGGGCAACCGAAUGCGGUCAUACGCAUUAGCGCAGGGCUGAAUACAUAGGCUCUGCGCGGCCAACCCAGGGAACUGAAACAUCUAAGUACCUGGUGGAAAGGACAUCAAAUGAGACUCCCCUAGUAGCGGCGAGCGAACGGGGACCAGCCUAAACCGAUUCAGUGUAAGCCUGGUGGCGUUGCUGAAUGGGUGUUGUGGGUCUGAUGAUGGAGUGCACCAGCGCUCUGACAGAGUUAACAAAUGUAUGGUUAGUAGAACAGCUUGGAACGGCUGGCCAAAGAGGGUGACAGCCCCGUAAACGAAAACGAUACAUCUCUGCAUUGGCACCCGAGUAGCGCAGGGCACGUGGAACCCGGCGUGAAUCUGGGAGGACCAUCUUCCAAGGCUAAGUACUCCUCGACGACCGAUAGUGAACAAGUACCGUGAGGGAAAGGUGAAAAGCACCCCGGCAAGGGGAGUGAAAUAGUACCUGAAACCGUGUGUCUACAAGCAGUUGAAGCACUAUGUAUUCGUACAGUGCGACAGCGUACCUUUUGCAUCAUGGGCCUGCGAGUUACGCUAUGUCGCAAGGUUAAGCCGUGAGGUGUAGCCGAAGGGAAACCGAGUCCAAAUAGGGCGAUUGAGUGGCAUGGCGUAGACCCGAACCCGAGCGAUCUAUCCAUGGGCAGGCUGAAGCGUGGGUAAAACCACGUGGAGGGCCGAACUCACCACAGUUGAAAAUGUGGGGAGAUGACCUGUGGAUCGGAGUGAAAGGCUAAUCAAGCUCGGAAAUAGCUGGUUCUCCGCGAAAUAUAUUGAGGUAUAGCCUCGGACGAAUUGCACCGGAGGUAGAGCACUGAAUGGGCUAGGGGUCUUACCAGACUACCAAACCCAAUCAAACUCCGAAUGCCGGUGACAACUAUCCGGGAGGCAGACUGCGGGUGAUAAGGUCCGUAGUCGAGAGGGAAAGAGCCCAGAUCUACAGCUAAGGUCCCCAAAUCCAGUCUAAGUGUCGAAGGAUGUGGGAGCGCUCAGACAGCCAGGAGGUUGGCUUAGAAGCAGCCACCCUUUAAAGAAAGCGUAAUAGCUCACUGGUCGAGCGAGCCUGCGCCGAAAAUGUAACGGGGCUAAAGUCUGGUACCGAAGCUUAGGGUUCUACGCAAGUAGAGCGGUAGCGGAGUAUUGUCAGGUAGAUACAAGCCAUACCGUAAGGAGUGGUGUCGGACCUGAGAAGAGCAAAUGCAGGCAUGAGUAGCGAUAAACAGGAUGAGAAGUCCUGUCGCCGUAAGCCCAAGGUUUCCUGGGGAAGGAUAAUCCUCCCAUGGGUUAGUCGGUCCCUAAGCUGAGCCCGAAAGGGGUAGGUGAUGGCAAGCAGGUUAAUAUUCCUGCACCACUAUAUAUACGUUGACCUGAGCAGGGACGGAGAAGGGUAGGCUGAGCCAGCCGUUUGGUUGUGCUGGUUCAAGCGCGUAGGCGGUUCCCGUAGGACCCAAUAGGGACAAACGCGGGGGCAACGCCGAGACGUGAUGAGGAGGAGCUCCGGCUCCGUAACUCCAGUGAUCCCAUGCUUCCAAGAAAAGCUGCGCAGUGAGUAUAUGUAGUGACCGUACCGCAAACCGACUCAGGUGGGCGGGGUGAAUAUCCCAAGGCGCGUGGGAGAACACUGGCUAAGGAACUCGGCAAAUUGACACCGUAACUUCGGGAGAAGGUGUGCCCCCAUUACGUGAAAGCCCUGCGGCCGUAGCGGAAGGGGGUUGCAGAGAAAUGAGGGUUGCGACUGUUUACCAAAAACACAGGACUCUGCGAACUCGUAAGAGGACGUAUAGGGUCUGACGCCUGCCCGGUGCUGGAAGGUUAAGGGGAGAUGUUAGUCUUCGGGCGAAGCUUCGAACCGAAGCCCCAGUAAACGGCGGCCGUAACUAUAACGGUCCUAAGGUAGCGAAAUUCCUUGUCGGGUAAGUUCCGACCUGCACGAAUGGCGUAACGACAUCCCUACUGUCUCGGCCAGUGACCCAGCGAAAUUGUAUUGGGGGUGAAGAUACCCUCUACCCGCGGCAAGACGGAAAGACCCCGUGAACCUUUACUGCAACUUGGCAGUGAAGCUCGGGACAUUCUGCGUAGGAUAGGUGGGAGACUUUGAAACCGGGGUUCCGGCUUCGGUGGAGUCAACCUUGAAAUACCACCCUGAAUGUUCUGGGCUUCUAACCCAGCACCGUUAUCCGGUGCGGGGACACUGUCUGGUGGGCAGUUUGACUGGGGCGGUCGCCUCCCAAAAAGUAACGGAGGCGCGCGACGGUUCCCUCAGGCUGAUUGGAAACCAGCCGUAGAGUGCAAAGGCAUAAGGGAGCUUGACUGUGAGACCGACAGGUCGAGCAGGUGCGAAAGCAGGUCUUAGUGAUCCGGUGGCUCCGAAUGGAAGGGUCAUCGCUCAACGGAUAAAAGGUACUCCGGGGAUAACAGGCUGAUCGCGCCUGAGAGUUCAUAUCGGCGGCGCGGUUUGGCACCUCGAUGUCGGCUCAUCGCAUCCUGGGGCUGGAGCAGGUCCCAAGGGUUUGGCUAUUCGCCAAUCAAAGCGGUACGCGAGCUGGGUUCAGAACGUCGUGAGACAGUUCGGUCCCCUAUCUGCCAUGGGCGAAGGAUACUUGAGAGGAUUUGACCAUAGUACGAGAGGACCUGGUUGAACGUACCUCUAGUGUUCCGGUUGUCCUGCCAAGGGCAUAGCCGGGUAGCUAUGUACGGAACGGAUAACCGCUGAAAGCAUCUAAGCGGGAAGCCGGCCUCAAGAUGAGGUAUCCCGGACCUUCGGGUCCCUAAAGGCCCCUUGUAGACUACGAGGUAAUAGGCAGGGUGUGGAAGUGUGGCAACACAUGGAGCUGACCUGUACUAAUCGGCCGUGCGGCUUGACCUA
rnacentral:rRNA from 1 species